AUGGUUUUAACGGGUAACGGGGAAUAAGGGUUCGAUUCCGGAGAGGGAGCCUGAGAAACGGCUACCACAUCCAAGGAAGGCAGCAGGCGCGCAAAUUACCCAAUCCCGAUACGGGGAGGUAGUGACAAUAAAUAACAAUACAGGGCUUUCUAGUCUUGUAAUUGGAAUGAGUACAAUUUAAAUCCCUUAACGAGGAACAAUUGGAGGGCAAGUCUGGUGCCAGCAGCCGCGGUAAUUCCAGCUCCAAUAGCGUAUAUUAAAGUUGUUGCAGUUAAAAAGCUCGUAGUUGAAUUUCGGGAUUGACACAUCGGUCGUGCCCUAAGGGGUAUGAACUGGUGUAGUCAGUUUCUCACCUUCUGGAGAACCGCGAUGUCCUUAAUUGGGUGCCGCGAGGAACCAGGACCUUUACUUUGAAAAAAUUAGAGUGUUUAAAGCAGGCAUUUUGCUUGAAUACAUUAGCAUGGAAUAAUAAAAUAGGACGGAUGGUUCUAUUUUGUUGGUUUCUAGGAUCACCGUAAUGAUUAAUAGGGAUAGUUGGGGGCAUUAGUAUUCAAUUGUCAGAGGUGAAAUUCUUGGAUUUAUUGAAGACUAACUACUGCGAAAGCAUUUGCCAAGGAUGUUUUCAUUAAUCAAGAACGAAAGUUAGGGGAUCGAAGACGAUCAGAUACCGUCGUAGUCUUAACCAUAAACUAUGCCGA
rnacentral:rRNA from 1 species